AUUGAACGCUGGCGGCAGGCUUAAUACAUGCAAGUCGAGCGGGGUGAUGGUGCUUGCACUAUCACUUAGCGGCGGACGGGUGAGUAAUGCUUAGGAAUCUGCCUAUUAGUGGGGGACAACAUCUCGAAAGGGAUGCUAAUACCGCAUACGUCCUACGGGAGAAAGCAGGGGAUCACUUGUGACCUUGCGCUAAUAGAUGAGCCUAAGUCGGAUUAGCUAGUUGGUGGGGUAAGGGCCUACCAAGGCGACGAUCUGUAGCGGGUCUGAGAGGAUGAUCCGCCACACUGGGACUGAGACACGGCCCAGACUCCUACGGGAGGCAGCAGUGGGGAAUAUUGGACAAUGGGGGGAACCCUGAUCCAGCCAUGCCGCGUGUGUGAAGAAGGCCUUAUGGUUGUAAAGCACUUUAAGCGAGGAGGAGGCUCUUUUGGUUAAUACCCAAGAUGAGUGGACGUUACUCGCAGAAUAAGCACCGGCUAACUCUGUGCCAGCAGCCGCCGUAA
rnacentral:rRNA from 1 species